GUGAAUCAUCGAAUUUUUGAACGCAAAUUGCGCCUUUUUCGGAAGGCAUGUCUGUUUGAGGGCACCAUUUAACAAAUAAUGUGCAGCGUUUUUUGUUGCACACGUUGUUGAUCUUUCUAAGAAUUUUAAAUUUUUGGUGGCGCAUAAUGAACAGUGUGAAAGUUUUUUUUAGUUCGAGUGUAGUUAAUUCUUUGCAUGGGGUGUGAUAAAAUAUAAUCGGGCAA
rnacentral:misc_RNA from 1 species